CGAUAGCGUAUAUUUAAGUUGUUGCAGUUAAAAAGCUCGUAGUUGGAUUUCGGGGUGGCCUGCCUGGUCCACCGCAAGGUGAGUACUGGUCAGCCGCCCUUCCUCUCGAAAGCCCCGACUGCUCUUCAUUGCAGUGGUCGGGUAGUUCGGGACGUUUACUUUGAAAAAAUUAGAGUGUUCAAGGCAGGCUCUCGCCUGAAUACAUUAGCAUGGAAUAAUGGAAUAGGGCUGCGUGACUCGUCGUCUUCGGGCGGCGGGUCCUCGUGUCCUAUUUUGUUGGUUUUCGGGACCGCAGUCAUGGUCAAGAGGGACAGUUGGGGGCAUUCGUAUUCAGUUGUCAGAGGUGAAAUUCUUGGAUUUACGGAAGACGAACAACUGCGAAAGCAUUUGCCAAGGAUGUUUUCAUUAA
rnacentral:rRNA from 1 species